rnacentral:rRNA from 1 species
CUCAGGUUGACCUCGGAUCAGGUAGGGAUACCCGCUGAACUUAAGCAUAUCAAUAAGCCGGAGGAA